ensembl:ncRNA F01G12.12 ncRNA
GCGAAAGAUCAAGCCGAAUGCUUCGGAAGCGAAGAGGUUCGAGAUGCCCGGCGUCGGAUAGACAACCAACGCAAGGAAUCUAGCGGAAUCAAUCGAGCUAAAAAAAAAG